UGCCUUGUCUGGUUCACACUGCUCCUCUUCCGCCCUCACCUGACCCACUGUCAGUGGAGGCCCUUCAGGCCCACGGCACAGCCUUCUUCCCCCACAGUUGUCUCCGUGACAGUCAGCCAUGGCGACUCCUCCUAAACCCUGUCAUGAGGGAAUCUGACCAACAGCAGGGCUUCAUGUCAAGCUCAAAUACAGCUGGUGGCAGUGUAGAUGGCGACUGUCCAACAUCGGCCUGUCCAUGGGACGAGUAUUCAUUUAUUUCAACACAAGGCAGUGUGUACAAAGGCAGCGGCCAAUGAUAACAUAAUCAAGUUCUUGGUGGCGUGGGAUAAACACAUUCAAAUCUCCUUCCCUUGUUCCCUCCAUCCCUCAUCCCUCCUUUCCUCUUAUCCUAAGGAGCCUCAGCUCUCCCUCCCACAGACCCCUGCUGCCCCAGAAGCCUUAGCGCUCUCCCUGGGAACGCUUUGAUCUCCCCAGAAUCCCAGAAAUAAGCAGCUAAUGCCUGGCACAGCAGGGGACCUCCAAGCAGGGUGAGGUCCCUCAGCCCACAUCACAUGCUUCCGGCCACAGUCCUUUUCCAUGAAGGCCCUGAGGUUCCACAGAGGGAAGAAGAGACCGGAGAAGGGAAGAGUGAACAGGGGGAAAACAGUAUGGAAAAGACAACGAAGGCUGCUCGGAGUACCACGGCGACCAUUUUGAGUAUUCUAUGCACAAUCUAUUGAACCAGCAGCUGCCAGCGCUAAAGUACCAGACUGUGACUGUUAUUUGCAAUUCAGUGUCUAUAAGAGUGUCAUUCCUUAAAUACUCUGAAAAAAUAUUAAUCAUGAUGGCAUUUUUAUAGCAUUUACCACAUGCUGAGUAUUGUCCUGUCCAUGGGACAGGUAUGCGUUUACUGAAACCUCAAAUACUUUGAGGGUCAUUUCUAUCAAACUACUUUCGUAGUCUCUAUUUUAUAUUUUUCCUUUUAAUUGACCUUUAUAGAGAAGAAAACUGAGGCACAGGCAGGUUAACUAAUUUGGUCACAGCGCAAACUCCAAAAGGGCAGAGCCAAGCUGCGAAGCCACACUGACUGGCAGAGGACCUUCUUGGUCACACACAACAACUUCUCCACGGCUUGGCUUACUAGAGCCAACUGCUGGCUCAGCACUUUGAACUUAGCAUUUAUUUCUGACUGAAGCAAAACGACAUCUUCCCCCUCAGAGAGAUCCCUGACCUGCCUGGAGGGCCAUUGCUGUCCCCAGAUCCAACAGCAGUGCUCAGUCCCACAGACCUCUGAGUCAGAUGUGUUCCCCAUCCCAACCAAAGAGCUGGAGGAACCAAGUCCCAGGGAGACCAGGGCUCCCCUAAGAGAAAGGAGUUUGUGCAAGAUGGAGACAGAAAGGACAGGAGAGAAAGCCAAGCAGGGGAAGGCAGGGUGAAUCAGAAUCGUCACAGAAGUGGGAAGGGCCCAGCAUGCUGCUGCACAGGGAACCCUCAACCUGCCAACAGAGCGCAGGACGAGGGGCUGGGCUUGUCCAAGAGCAAAUCUGGUUACUAAUGGAAGUUCGCUGGUCUCAAUGCUCUUCAAAGCCCUCUGAGGACACAGGGAAAAAGGUCAGAAGAAAUGGCCUACUCCCUGAGAGCUAUUGCGCCUCUAGCAGUCACAAGGCCAGGCAGGCUCCCUCUGAGAAGAACAGAACCAUGUCUCUCAAGUGGGGCUAAUGAGAUAAAAGAAGAAACCCCCCACCCCUGGUCAUAUCAAUGCCCCCUACUGCCACACAGUGUUCUUGUAUCCCCUUCCCUCUGGCCAGUAUGAACCACCCCUCCAUGCAACUUUUUAAAGCCCACACCAUUCCCAGUGAAACAUCUCUCCCUCCUCCUCCCUCUCCCUCCCCUUCCCAUCUGCCUUUCUUCCUUCAAUCUGCAGCUCAGGACUACUGUUCUGCUUGUCCACAUGAUGGCCAUGGACUCCAUGCAACUGUGAGCCCCAAAUUAAAUUCAUUCUAAGUUA